CGACCGCUGGCGGCGUGCUUAACACAUGCAAGUCGAACGGGAUUUAGUAAACGGAAGCCUCGGUGGAAGAUUACUAAUGAGAGUGGCGAACGGGUGAGUAACGCGUGAGCAACCUGCCUAUGACAGUGGGAUAGCCUCGGGAAACCGGGAUUAAUACCGCAUAAAAUCGUAGAAACACAUGUUUCAACGGUCAAAGAUUUAUCGGUCAUAGAUGGGCUCGCGUCUGAUUAGCUAGUUGGUGAGAUAACAGCCCACCAAGGCGACGAUCAGUAGCCGGUCUGAGAGGAUGAACGGCCACAUUGGAACUGAGACACGGUCCAAACUCCUACGGGAGGCAGCAGUGGGGAAUAUUGCACAAUGGGGGAAACCCUGAUGCAGCGACGCCGCGUGAACGAAGAAGGUAUUCGUAUCGUAAAGUUCUGUCCUAUGGGAAGAUAAUGACAGUACCAUAGAAGAAAGCUCCGGCUAAAUACGUG
rnacentral:rRNA from 1 species